rnacentral:rRNA from 1 species
AUAAUAAUUAGUUUUUUAAUUGGAAACUAGAAUGAAUGAUUGAAUGAGAUAUAAGCUUUUUUUUUUAAAAUUUUAUAAAAUUUAAAUUUUUGGUUAAAAAGCUAAAAUUUAAUAAAAAGACGAGAAGACCCUAUAGAUUUUUAUUUAAUCAAAAUUAUUUUUAAUUUUGAUUAAAUUUUAUUGGGGGGAUAAAAAAAUUUAUAAAACUUUUUAAUUUAAUUAACAUUAAUUUUUGAAAUUUAAAUUUAUAAACUAUAAGAUUUAUUAUAAAUAAAGAUUAAAAUACCUUAGGGAUAACAGCGUAAUUUUAAUUUUAAGAUCUUAUUUAAAUUAAAGAUUGC